rnacentral:rRNA from 1 species
GCUAUCGGAUGAUACUAAGCCAUGCGAGUCAUUGUAGCAAUACAAGGCAGACGGCUCAGUAACGCGUAGUCAACCUACCCUAUGGACGGGAAUAACCUCGGGAAACUGAGUAUAAUGCCCGAUAGAACAUUAUGCCUGGAAUGGUUUAUGUUCCAAAUGAUUUAUCGCCGUAGGAUGGGACUGCGGCCUAUCAGUUUGUUGGUGAGGUAAUGGCCCACCAAGACUAUUACAGGUACGGGCUCUGAGAGGAGUAGCCCGGAGAUGGGUACUGAGACACGGACCCAGGCCCUAUGGGGCGCAGCAGGCGAGAAAACUUUGCAAUGUGCGAAAGCACGACAAGGUUAAUCCGAGUGGUUUCUGCUAAAGGAACCUUUUGUUAGUCCUAAAAACACUAACGAAUAAGGGGUGGGCAAGUUCUGGUGUCAGCCGCCGCGGUAAAACCAGCACCUCAAGUGGUCAGGAUGAUUAUUGGGCCUAAAGCAUCCGUAGCCGGCUUUGUUAGUUUUCGGUUAAAUCCAUGUGCUCAACGCAUGGGCUGCCGAAAAUACUGCAUAGCUAGGGAGUGGGAGAGGUAGACGGUACUCAGUAGGAAGGGGUAAAAUCCUUUGAUCUAUUGAUGACCACCUGUGGCGAAGGCGGUCUACCAGAACACGUUCGACGGUGAGGGAUGAAAGCUGGGGGAGCAAACCGGAUUAGAUACCCGGGUAGUCCCAGCUGUAAACGAUGCAGACUCGAUGAUGCAUUGGCAUAAUAGCCAGUGCAGUGUCGCAGGGAAGCCGUUAAGUCUGCCGCCUGGGAAGUACGUACGCAAGUAUGAAACUUAAAG